rnacentral:rRNA from 1 species
GUAGGUGGCAGGCGUUGUCCGGAAUUAUUGGGCGUAAAGCGCGCGCAGGCGGUUCUUUAAGUCUGAUGUGAAAGCCCACGGCUCAACCGUGGAGGGUCAUUGGAAACUGGAGAACUUGAGUACAGAAGAGGAAAGCGGAAUUCCACGUGUAGCGGUGAAAUGCGUAGAGAUGUGGAGGAACACCAGUGGCGAAGGCGGCUUUCUGGUCUGUAACUGACGCUGAGGCGCGAAAGCGUGGGGAGCAAACAGGAUUAGAUACCCUGGUAGUCCACGCCGUAAACGAUGAGUGCUAAGUGUUAGGGGGGUUUCCGCCCCCCUUAGUGCUGCAGCUAGCGCAUUAAGCACUCCCGCCUGGGAGUGCGGCCGCAAGGCUG